UUCUGUUAAGUCAGAGUCUACGUUUUCACCAUGUCUUAGUUUCCAUACUAAAAAAUCACAUACUAAAUAAUCACACAACCGAAAUAUUACAGCCAGUAUUCAUUAAAAUGUAAAAUUAUGCGUCAAUGUUUAUUUUUUAUUUGUAUUUUCUUAUUAUUUACAAUCGACUAUUUAAAGCCAUUAUUUAUUUUGAUUUGUAGUUCCGUAGCCCCUAUGGACGGGCCUGCCCGUGAGAGAGGUUCUAAACAAGGCAAAAAAAGGGAGGAAUGGAGAAAGACGGUCGACAAGUCUUGCCUGGUGCCACAACAGUCCAACAGACUAAGGGAUAGGUAAAGGUAAAGUCCCUGUGUGUCAAUGUUUCUUGUCAGCUUAUAGUUGUCAUUAUUUUUUAAACAAAUACAAAUAUAUCUUUUUUUAUAUCAGUAAAUAAUCACAAUCAGAAAAUAUAAAUAACAAAAACAGACAUUUGGAAAGCCCAAUAACUUGAACUGGUCAAAGAUAUUUAAGUAGUAAUUGGAAAAUGAAAGAAUAUAAUUGCCAAAAAAAUAACAAAAAAACAACAAAAAACGAUGUACGUAACCUCGGGUACAACUCAAACUUUUCUUUAAAGAUUGAAUAAAAUUCCAUUAAUCUAAUAUAUAAAAUUAAAAGUUAGGUGUAUGUAUAAAUUUAUAUAUGUAUCUAUGUCCCGCAUAGAAAUCAAAACCGCUUGACCAAUCUGAAUAAAACUUGGCAAAAA